rnacentral:lncRNA from 1 species
AGCUCAAGGCCGAUGUGUCCAUCCCAUGUAAACAUUGAGACUGUCAGCAGGGGAGAGUGAGCGUUUAUCACUCAGCUCUUCCCAUUCACUCUCGAAGUCUCGUGGCCUGCUCACCCCCACAAAAGGAAUCGACCUGCUCUGUGUGCUGACACAUAUAUUAGAGCAGCCUGUACCACGUGGGAGCGGUCAGGGGGAGUUUGUAUGCGGCAAGUGUGUGUCCGUUCUGGAACGAGUUUUCAAGUUUGACACCGUCAUCGCCCGAGUCCGAGUGCUGUCAAGCGAGAGACUCCAGAAACUCACUCAGGAACGGGACAAGAUCAGACGAUGGGUGCGAAGCAUGUACGAUCAGCGCCACACGUCUACCUCCAGGAGAAACGGAAGUUCCAGUGAGGAUGAAAGGGACCAGAAGGAUUCCCUAGGGGAAGGAUACAGAGAAAUGAUGAGGGACAACAUGGCCCUCUCUGAGUAUGAAUGGUGGUCGGAGAAAGCUGAGUCGUGUCCAUAUUAUAGGAGAACAGGGAAACGGUGUCAGAAAGGCAAGAUGUGUGAGUGUUGCGACUCCUUGAGGGUGUCCGACUCAGACUACGAGUCUGUUUGUGGGAUUCCACGUCACUUGCCCGAUCAAGCUUUCACGUCAUUGGGCCUCUCUCGAGAAAAAUCCUGCAGCAUGCCUCUCCAUUGGUCAAAAGUGGCAUCUGUCAGAUCCAGCCCCGCCUCGCUGUCUGGUUCCUGUCAUUCUUUGCGACCUCGAUCCCCCACUACCUCGCUGGACUCUUUAGACGGCAAUGAUCCAUUUGAUUGGCCAGAAGAGCAUUCGGCCAUUAUAGACACCGUUUUCAAAGAGUUAAGGAGCAUUAGGAAAGCCAGUGAGGUCACCGGCUGGAAGUCGCAUUCCUGUGUUGCACAGAGGGGACAUGCAGAAUGGGAAGGAUAAGGUGGGACUGAAAGCGGGGUUAGUAAGGGUCCUGAAUUUUGGAGAUGGUGACAACGGGACGGAGGAUGAGUUUGAAGUAGAAAACGAUGACAUCCUGACCGAGCUAAAAGAUGACUUUAUGCCACUGCAAAAAGAGGCAUCCGCAGGUAGGGUGCCUCAUGCUGUGAAGCAGUUGCGUGAACAACUCGUUCAAGCUCAGGCUCGCAUCAGAACUCUGGAGGCACAGCUCAGGGACACCAACAAACCAACAAGCGAUGCUCCUCCCAAGCAGUUGAAGUCUCCACAAGUGACCAGUCUGAAGAAUAAAAAUGAGCUCAUAGAGAGUCUCAGCCAAUCACUGCACAGCAGAGAGAAUGUAAUCCAGGAAUGUGUGACUUUGAUCCAGAAGCUGUGUGCUGAGCAGGGGCUGGAAUCACAGGACACUGACAAACUCAUCAAAAAACUGGCCAGCGCAGUGACAGAAACACGCAGUGACCGUGAGGCAGUCCUGGAGGCCCAGCUGUCUGAGGUGAGCGAGAGAGAGAAAGCCCUGGAGAAACAGCUGCAAGCUAUUAGAGAUGCUGGCAGAGAGCGAGACAGAGACAUCAUCACACUCAACACUGUGCUCCAGUGUAACCAGGAUGUUAUUAACCACCUGCGUGUAGAGCUUACGGAGCGGGAUCGAGCCCAACAGGAGAUGAUGAAAGAAUGGGAAGUGUGGAAAGAGAGAGAUUCAGCUCUGACUACAUUGGUGAAGGAAAACAAAGACUAUAUUUUCCCGCUAAAGGAGGCACUGGAGAGUUCACGCCGAGAUGUGCAGGCACUCUCAGACUCACUGAUUGGACGGGGAUUGGAAGGGGUCGGAGCUGAGGCUGGAUUAGUCAAUCAGCUGCGAGAGAAAGAAGCUUUGCUUGCAGCGAGCUUCAGAGAUCGAGAGGAGCUCAGUGCCACCAUGCUGCAGGAGAUCUCAAGACUCUCCUCGGCCUUAACCAACACCGAAAGCAUCAUACUGGACCAAAGAGAAAAUCACAAACAAGCCAUCACUGCACUAUCAGAGCAACUCAAGAACACACUCAAGGAGCUGAGAGAGAAAACCAAGGAGAAAAAGGAGGCUGAACUAGGGUGGAAGAAGGAAAAUAAGGAGAGAGCAUUUGAGGAAGGAAAACUAAGAGACAAUCUUCAGAAGAGGGAUAAACUCAUAGAGCAAGUUCUUCUGGAGUUAGAGGAGCGGGACAGUGUGUUAACAGAGCUACAGCAAAACAUCUCUAGCAGACUUGGACCCAGAACAGCCCUCAAACACACACUGUGAGUGUGUGAUGAAACACAUACUGUGUAUUUAACGAUGUCAUGUAUGUGGAAACAUGUAUACACUGAAUUUCAUAACUGUUCAAUAUAUUGUUAAUGGCACUACUUUCAUUAAGUGCAGUCUCUUAACUUCUCAAAAAUGAGAAUCUAAAGCAAUGGUUCAUAAAGUUAAUUCUGUUAAAUUCUUAUGGUAAUUCUCUAGUUAUAAAACCAAAAGGAAUUCAAGACAGGCCAGUGUAUUUAAGUUGUGAAUAGUGCCAUUUGCAUGUUCUGGGAAUUCAAGACAGGCCAGUGUAUUUAAGUUUGUGAAUAGUGCCAUUUGCAUGUUCUGCCAGAUUGUUCAAAACUGAACUUUUGAGAAAGCUGAGUGUAUAUUUUUUUUUUUUUAGUCUAUAUGAAUUUAUGACCUGGCCAUUACAGGUACACAGCCGUAAAAUGUUCUGAUUACUUCCCACACUUCCAGGUUGUGGUUCCAAGAUUGACAUAGUUACCCACACAUGCCUUUUCAGCAUAUGCUUUGCUUAUUAAUAAUUAUUUUUCCGUAUUCCCACAAUCCAUACUGCCAUUAUUAUUACUAAAUGUCUAAAUUGUUUUAUGAGUGAAUGUUGAAUACUGCUUUUCUUGUUAUUAUUUGAUUUGUCUUGUUCCCAAUAUAAUUUUCCAUGUGAUCUUAUAUUUGUUCUGUAUUUAUGAAUGUUUUCUCAUGUUGAUUUGUUUUGGAGAUGCCAUUAUAUUCCCAACUGGGAUGUGCUAUCUUCGUUCCGGUGUAGAGAAAACGUUUGCACAACAGAAGGAUCUACAAACUCUCAUCUUUUAAUCGGUUUAUUUUAUUUGGAUAUGCUGGAAUCCCCACAACUUGGUGCAUACCUCAUAAAUCACAUUUAAAAUUAAGCCUCAAGUUUGUGUGGGUUUUCUUUUAUGUCUGAAAUAUUAAAGGUUCUUUCUUGAGAACUUAGGGGUAUAGGGGUAUAAUUGACAAUA